rnacentral:rRNA from 1 species
UACGUAGGGACCAAGCGUUGUUCGGAUUUACUGGGCGUAAAGGGCGCGUAGGCGGCGCGGUAAGUCACUUGUGAAAUCUCUGAGCUUAACUCAGAACGGCCAAGUGAUACUGCAGUGCUAGAGUGUGGAAGGGGCAAUCGGAAUUCUUGGUGUAGCGGUGAAAUGCGUAGAUAUCAAGAGGAACACCUGCGGCGAAGGCGGGUUGCUGGGCCGACACUGACGCUGAGGCGCGAAAGCCAGGGGAGCGAACGGG